GAUGAACGCUGGCGGCGUGCCUAAUACAUGCAAGUCGAGCGAACAGACGAGGAGCUUGCUCCUCUGACGUUAGCGGCGGACGGGUGAGUAACACGUGGAUAACCUACCUAUAAGACUGGGAUAACUUCGUGAAACCGGAGCUAAUACCGGAUAAUAUAUUGAACCGCAUGGUUCAAUAGUGAAAGACGGUUUUGCUGUCACUUAUAGAUGGAUCCGCGCCGCAUUAGCUAGUUGGUAAGGUAACGGCUUACCAAGGCAACGAUGCGUAGCCGACCUGAGAGGGUGAUCGGCCACACUGGAACUGAGACACGGUCCAGACUCCUACGGGAGGCAGCAGUAGGGAAUCUUCCGCAAAGGGCGAAAGCCUGACGGAGCAACGCCGCGUGAGUGAUGAAGGUCUUCGGAUCGUAAAACUCUGUUAUUAGGGAAGAACAAAUGUGUAAGUAACUAUGCACGUCUUGACGGUACCUAAUCAGAAAGCCACGGCUAACUACGUG
rnacentral:rRNA from 1 species